rnacentral:piRNA from 1 species
GUGGGAUACACCAAAGACGAUGCCUCCAU